rnacentral:rRNA from 1 species
AGUGAACGCUGGCGGUAGGCCUAACACAUGCAAGUCGAACGGCAGCACAGUAAGAGCUUGCUCUUACGGGUGGCGAGUGGCGGACGGGUGAGGAAUACAUCGGAAUCUAUUUUUUCGUGGGGGAUAACGUAGGGAAACUUACGCUACUACCGCAUACGACCUACGGGUGAAAGCAGGGGAUCUUCGGACCUUGCGCGAUUGAAUGAGCCGAUGUCGGAUUAGCUAGUUGGCGGGGUAAAGGCCCACCAAGGCGACGAUCCGUAGCUGGUCUGAGAGGAUGAUCAGCCACACUGGAACUGAGACACGGUCCAGACUCCUACGGGAGGCAGCAGUGGGGAAUAUUGGACAAUGGGCGCAAGCCUGAUCCAGCCAUACCGCGUGGGUGAAGAAGGACUUCGGGUUGUAAAGACCUUUUGUUGGGAAAGAAAAGCAGCAGGUUAAUACCCCGCUGUUCUGACGGUACCCAAAGAAUAAGCACCGGCUAACUUCGUG